UAGGGAAUCUUCCACAAUGGGCGCAAGCCUGAUGGAGCAACGCCGCGUGAGUGAUGAAGGCCUUCGGGUUGUAAAACUCUGUCUUCUGUGACGAACAAGCCUGUGAGUGGAAAGCUCAGGCCCUGACGGUAACAGAGGAGGAAGCCACGGCUAACUACGUGCCAGCAGCCGCGGUAAUACGUAGGUGGCAAGCGUUGUCCGGAAUCACUGGGCGUAAAGCGCGCGCAGGCGGCGAUCUACGUCUGGGGUGAAAGCCCGGAGCUCAACUCCGGGACUGCCUUGGAUACGGGAUCGCUUGAGGAUUGGAGAGGCAAGGGGAAUUCCACGUGUAGCGGUGAAAUGCGUAGAUAUGUGGAGGAACACCUGUGGCGAAGGCGCCUUGCUGGCCAAUUUCUGACGCUGAGGCGCGAAAGCGUGGGGAGCAAACAGGAUUAGAUACCCUGGUAGUCCACGCCGUAAACGAUGAGUGCUAGGUG
rnacentral:rRNA from 1 species